rnacentral:rRNA from 1 species
CAGUAGCCGCGGGAAUACGAAGGGGGCUAGCGUUGCUCGGAGUGACUGGGCGUAAAGGGCGCGUAGGCGGAAUGCUUUGUCGGGCGUGAAAUUCCAGGGCUUAACCUUGGGGCUGCGUUCGAGACGGGUAUUCUAGAGUGGAGAAGAGGGUCGUGGAAUUCCCAGUGUAGAGGUGAAAUUCGUAGAUAUUGGGAAGAACACCGGUGGCGAAGGCGGCGACCUGGUCUUUUACUGACGCUGAGGCGCGAAAGCGUGGGGAGCAAACAGGAUUAGAUACCCCCGUAGUCCCUGUCUCUUAUAC